rnacentral:other from 1 species
CAGGUGCUACCAUGUUCGUCCCUAUAUAGAACGAGUCCAGGCCGAUAUUUAAAUUACGGGAGCUGCCCCAGAGGGUUGAUGUCAUGCCUUUUCAGGAAGACAAAGACCCAAUGGACGUUCCCACCUACUGAGCUUUCGGAUCAGUGGCUUCAGUUCUAUGGACGGCAUGGCGGUAUUUUU